ACUUAAGCCUGUCUCAAUGGUGGCUCUUCACUUUCAUUGGAGACUUUGGGCUCCACAAAUCUUUUAAGGUGUUGGACAUUUGGCAUUCGGUUCAGUCUGUCAGAUGAUAAAAUUAUGCCUCAGGGUUAUUUUGACUCCUCACUUCACAGGGUAUCUUUCUGUCCUUUCUGUUUACCUUUUUCUAAGUUAGCUUCUUGCAGACAGUGCACCAAAGGACCCUCUUCCUUAAGUAAGCUUUACUCUUAGCAGUGACUAUACUGCAGUUGUUUCUUAUAGUUGGGCUGGUUUCUGUUGUCAUAUCUGCAUUUUCUUCUCUUUACACUUUCUUUAGUGUCUCUUCUGACACUCCAGUUGACUGCUGAGCCUUCAUGUGGUUUGUGUACUGUUGUUCUUACCAUACUUUCUUGUUGUUGUUGUUGUUGUUGUUGUUGUUGUUGUUGUUGUUCUUCUUCUUCUUCUUCUUCUUCUUCUUCUUCUUCUUCUUCCUCUUCCUCUUCCUCUUUCUUCCUCUUCCUCUUCUCCUCCUCCUCCUUCUUCUUUUAAAAUUUUUUUUUCUUAUCGUACUUUAUAUGGGAAUUCUCUCAGGUACCUUCUGAGAGCUCUUAGACUUUCUGACUCUAUCCUGAGCCUCAGGUUGAUUUCAUGUAGACCACAGGUUCUUGUCUUCAUUUCUGUCUUCUCUUUCUGUAUUGACACGAUCACUGUGAAACCAACCAGAACCUUUGGUCAUUUUCCUGUCUCUCCCCAUUGCCCAGAUCUGCCUCUCUCUAGAAGGCUUCUUCAGGGUGUCAGCACUGUGGGUCUUGAUAUGAAAUCUUCUAAGGCAGCCUCAAAGCAAACCAGAAACUGUUGUUCUGUGUUAUAGUUGGGUAGCCCUUUGGUAGAUACAGGAUGUAAGGUGUAAAACCUCCCUCAACUUUUAUAGUAUGCUGUUUUGUUGGUAGUGUCUGGUAGUCUGAAUCCUCCACACUGGUGCUUUUGCUCUUUGAAAGUUUUUUAACAUUUUCCUUUGCCUUUGUCUUCCUUAAACUUUGCUAUGAUGCAUCUCUUUUUCUUAUUUACCCUGGUUGUCCCCUCUAACAUCUUCAACUCUGAAAGUUUUUGCCUUAAUUCCUGGUUCUUUGUUUAUUUUUAGGAGUUGUGCUAUUCAAGGAUCAUCGCUAUCCUAGGAAAACACCUAGAAUUUCUAUUUUUUUUUUGUACAGUCGCCCUUCCCUAUGCACACAGGCACAAGAGCUUGCUGUUCAUCUUCCCACUAUGUUCAGGUCCACUGUGUGUAUAUCAUCACAUUUCAUACCUAAUAUUUUCAUUUUUAUUAAUACCUAAUAUAUCAUUUCUUGUUCUUGUUUUCUUUUGCUAAAGUCUCCCUCAUCUUUUUAGUUGUUAUUUAUAGUCACCCUUACAUCAAUUCCUUAGCUUGAUCCAUAUAUGUCACAUAGGUUUCUUUGCUUUUGCUCCUGGGAUACCAGACAAGGGACCUAUGCCUGGGGACACUGGCCAGCCCUCGUCUGCUGGAUGGGUUGAGGAAAGUAUAUGGUCAGGGCAGCCAGCUUCCUGAGUGAGUUUACCUAUGAAAAAGAGGCUUGCAAAGGAGUCCUUCUCUGCAGGGGUCCCCUCUGAAGGCUGUUUGCACAGUACUGCUGUGGCAGUAGAUCUGUAAUACCAGCUUCCCUUUCUCUGAAUCUUGUCCUUGUGGGCAGGGCCCAGCAGUCAGGGAUGAUCUUAAACCCUCUGGCAAGGGGCAGGAACAUGAUAAUUUCCAGGCUGUUCAUUAUCAAAUUCCCAGCGUACACGAUGGCUUCCCACACCUCAGUUCUAGACAGCCUCAGGUGCCUGAGCUUUCUUGGCCUUUAUGGGAUCCAGCCUCCUCCAGUAUGACUGAACUGAAGGUGCAUGUUAUAUUUUCGUGUUUAAAGGAGGUUUGCACAAAUGAAGAUAAUGAGUGCAGUCUGGGAGACUUUCUGGGUAGGAGACUUUGGAUAUCAGGACCAAGACUGCCAUGGGUCCUUGAACUGGCAUAGCAAAAGUCCUCUGGUUGCAAGUGGUUUGUAAAAAGAAAGAUUUACUGAAAUACAUACUCAGAUGAAGGGAAUCUCACAAACUCCUUGAAAGGGAGAGUCCUGCAGAACCCAUGGCUGCCUGCCAGGUUUUAGCUGUCCUCUGUCCACUCUGCCUCACAAUGUAAUACAGAAACAGUUGUGGCAUAACUGUAUAUGUCAGGGAGUCACAGCCAUGCACCAGGCAGAAGUUCUCUGAGCUGCACCAGUAUGUUCUGUAACUUUUAGAUAAGCUACCACAGACCCUUCAGACUCCUGAAAGGAGGUUCAUAGAUAGACUCCAAGUACCUCCAGUACUUCUAGUGUAGUAAUUUGGAGAAAACUAUUUUGGAGUUGUUCUUCUGAAGAAAGAUGUCAAAAACCCACCUUCCCAGUUAGGAUGUCUUCCUGGGGCCUUGUAGGCAGAACUGACGUUUGACUCAUGUUCCAUGUAAGUGACCAUGUACUGGUCACUAUGAAGAAGACUGAGGGUUAGAGCCAGAAGGAUAAGAAUCCCCUUUCUCCUACCUACUUAGCUUCUUGGUACAGAUAGGAGUCCAUGGCUAAAAACUGAAAAUAUAAAAUUUCAGAGUCUUCCAACCAACACUAAGAAACUCCAGGGUACAGAAAAAGGGAACGUGGUAAGAAAAGGACCAGGAGAGUGGGGCAGACCUGCCAGGAUCUGGGAGAGCCAUGCUUGAAGCUGAGGACCACGAUUAGAGCCUGUCCUCUAUUGGCUGGGCUGAUGAAGGUGAUAGUCUGUGCCACUUACACUGCUCACUCAGCUUCUAACCUGCUCUAGGUUAGCUGUAGACCUUUCCACCAGUAGGACAGAACAGAGCCCAAGGGAUGGCUGACAAUGAAAUGAGUGCGGUGCUUCCAGCGCUGUCCACACCUGCUGUCUCUGCAGCCACAGUUAGUUAGUAUGGUCUCUCAGGAACUGCUUUCAAGUGCCCUAGCUGCUUCAUGGAAGAAAUUCAAGGCUGCGUUUACUAUUUGUGGGAUCUAUAAACAGCCAUUUAUUCCACUCCCCCGGCUAGAACAGUGCUCGCACGCACGCAAGUUCCAUGCCACAGCCCCUGCGAGUGAUCUGGCUCCAGGAAGCUCAGCCAGCUGCCCCAAUGCCUGCCCAGUGCUGCUCGCGUGACUAGGGCCUGUUGCUGUGCAGUAACCAUGGCAACAACUCCCAGAGGGAACGACUCGCUCCAACUUCCCCUAAUGCCAAGGGGGAGACAUGAGAGAAGCUGUUGAGAAUUGUUCCCUUUUCCCUCCUUUUUUUUUUGUUUUGUUUUGUUUUGUUUUUCUUUUUUCCUCUGCUGUGACCUUGACAAAAAUAAUCUUUGAAGUACUUGUUGGCUAUUUUCCUGCCAUGGGACUGGAAGAAAUCAAGAUAGCCAGAGUUCGCCAAAGGAAGUACAACUUCUCAAAGUGCUGGCCUCUCUGUGUGCAGAGGGUGGGAGGAAUGCCAAGACAGAGCAGAGGUGCCAUCAGGCCACUGACCGUUGCCUGUACCUUGUGGCAGGUGCUUCGUGCUGUGACUUUUACAUUAAACAUGGACGACUUUUUUUCCCCUUAAAAAACGCAGACUUUAACCUUAGGGCUAAAUCCGUUUUUCCACUUGGAAAAGUGAUCUCAUUUUCCAUGUACCGUAGGUUUUUUUGUUUUGCUUUGCUUG
rnacentral:lncRNA from 1 species